AAGACUCAGUCAGUCUGAACAGGUUUUUAACCCAGCACUUCUCUUCAUGUUGUCUGAAAAUGAAACUCAGCAAGCAGAGCACUGAGCAUGUGGGAUUACACUGAAAGUUAAUGGAUCUGCCCCCCAGCUGUCACCACAGAGGAGUAAAGCAGUGUGAUGGAUUUUCCACUGAUUUCAAGCUGCUGCUGACAUUUUACCUCUCUCUGUCAGCAGGAGUCGAAACGCUGAAGGUGUUUACUGAGCGAGUGCAAGAUGGACAGACUAAAUGAAUUAAUGAUGAGGAGGAAAAUGUCAAAGGGCAGUUGUAUGAGACACACUGAGUCCACUGAGACAGACUGAAUUCCCUGUCUGCAGACACAUACGCACACAAAACUCACGCACACUUCCCUUCCCCCCACCCUCUGAGCAGCAGUGAUGCAGGCUGACGUCAG